UCCCCUGGGAGGGGGUGGGUACUAAGCAUGGGCUCAGCACCUCCCUCUGAAGACAGAGGGAGGCUCUCCUAACCUUGAGAUUCCCUUCCCUAAUUCAUGGGUUCUUGGAGCCUGGGCCAUUAACUCAGGGCCCCAAAGGCCUUUGAGAAGUUCUGGCCUGGAGGGUGGAGGGACAGUACCCUGGGGAGAGGAGCCUCCCAGCCUCACCUCUUCUUCAACAUCUUUUUGAAAUCCAUUUUUUCAUGACCUGAAGACAGAAAAGGGGACAGGGUCAGACAGAGGAGUCUGAUCCCUACAAAGAAAGACCAGGAAGAGGGAGCUGGCUCACCUUCUGUCACCAGCAAGGACACAGUGUAGAUGGCAUCUGCAUGGUCAUUGCUUGCAAUGCACUUGUAGUUGUCAGAGUCAUCGGAGGUCAGUGGCUCCAGCUGGAUCAGAGUCAAGCCAUUAGUGGGGGAGUGAGGAGGACCCCAGGGAGACUUUCUGUGAGGAGGGAAAGGAGGGCAUUUUGGGGGGGGAGGGGGAGUGGGGCUGAGUGUGGGUAUAUGUGUGGAGGACUGAGCAGCCUCUAUGAUGUGGAGGUUCCAGGGAGCCAUCAGUGUGAGUGUGUGUGUUUGUAGCCUGAUUCUUCACAGGAUUCUCCCUCUUGGCUGUGAGCUAGACGACAGGGAUGUCCUCUGAGUUGUAACUGUGUGCAGUUUCUGCCACUAGGCUGAGUGUUCCUUCCUUUAACACAUAUUUACUCCUUUGUACAGGUGCCGGACUGAGCCUGAGGAAACCGGUGAAUUAGGCUGAGGAAACCGGUGAAUGUUGGUAUCUGCAACAUGGCACUCACAGCCCAGUGGGGUCUCGGAAUGAAUGACUUUGUGGUCUGGAACCGGAAGUUGCAGAAGCUGGUUAGAUCUAAGGAUGAUCAGCUCUUGGCCAGAGUCUUCUAGAAGUGUCCCCUGAAGAGCCCAGGAACCCUGACCUUCACCCCUUCGCUAGGAUCAGUUCCUCCCUUGGUGCCUGGCCGCCCUGAUUUAACCUGGCUCCACCCACUAUGGCCACGCCCCCUUCUAGCCACGCCCAUAGCCUUGGCCUCCCUUCCCUUUUGGCUCUCUCACCUUCUGGAAGAGGUGGGUCUCCUGCCCCUCCUUGGCUUUGCCCUAGCUCUGCUUCGCCUCACCCCUAAUUUUGGUCUCCUGCCCACUCUAGCAACACCCCAACUCCUGAUUCGGCCUCUCUUAUCCUGCCCCUCCUCUAGGGCAACGACAGCUUCUUUCCCCAUGGCCCUUCUUGGUUCGUUCAGUUGUGGCUCUCUUGUCCGUGAUGGGGCCGGCGGCAUGCCCUGGGGUCCCUGCCUCUGACCUCGUCCGUAACUGGCUCUCUGGCUCGGGUCCCCGCACCUUCAGCACGUGCUCCUUGUUGAUGCUGUCGUAGAACAUCUUGGCCGACUCCUUGAUGGGGAUGCCGCUCUCCCUCUUCCAGGAGAUGUUGGGUUUGGGGUUCCCCUGCACCCGGGCUCGGAACACAGCUUUAUCCCCUGCAGUGGGCACGGGACACAAGUACACCUCUUAGCCUCCAGGUCGGACCUUCGGACCCUGCCUCCUCCCAGGGGUCUCAUGUCCACCCCGGCAGGGGAGCGCCCCUGGGCCUGGGGCCGCCAGUGUUUGCAUUACUGGGGGACAGUGGGGUCGUGGUGCUGAUUGGGGCACCGGGAGAAGGACAGAAAGCAGCCAGGGGUUUGGGGUCACACGGGGAGCAACACACCCUCGGGCGCGGUGACCGGGUGAGGCUUCUCCACGAACUCGGGGACGCUCUCGCCUGCAGGGAUGUCAGUACUCCGAGUCACCAAGCUGAAGAACUCUGCAGUGCUCGAGGACUUCCUUGUCACGACUUCCUCUGUGGCGACAGGCAAGAGGUCAGAAUGGGCCCGAGACUGGAGGAUUGGCCUUUUCUUGAGGCGACGGUGGAGCAUUUUAGGGCCGCGCGGGGACUUUGGCCAGAAAAGGAGGACCUUUGUGUCAGUCGGUCGUUGUGUUAUGGCACGUUUCAGCCACCAGGGGGAGCGACCUCCUCUUCCAGGCCUCUGGUCAAUCACGUUUAUCGGGCCACGUUACGGGGUCCCAAUUGUUUUCUUUUCUUUUUCUUUUUUUUUCCAACCUUUUUCUUUUUUGAAAAGGAGAUUUAUUUUGAUGGGGGUUUCUUGGCCUCUUGGGCUUCUCUCCUGGAAAUCCUAGUCCCCCAGCAGCCUUAAGAGGGGCCCGGUGGCUUAGUUGAAUUCUGCUGUCUGCCUUCCCCUAGCCCUUCUGUGGUUUAGCAUUCAUUGCUAUGGGAGGAGCAGUGAUUCUUGAGCGAGGGACAGGAAACAUUCCCAGCCCAGAGGGGCUACGGGUGGGAAUCUCCUUAUCUGAGAGAGCAUAUUCAAUGCAGUCAUGUAAUUUUAUGUUUGGAAAAUGAAAAGUUUUUUCAGCAUAAACUA